GACGAACGCUGGCGGCGUGCCUAAUACAUGCAAGUCGAGCGAAUCAAUAGGAGCUUGCUCCUGUUGGUUAGCGGCGGACGGGUGAGUAACACGUGGGCAACCUGCCUGUAAGACUGGGAUAACACCGGGAAACCGGUGCUAAUACCGGAUAAUCCUUUUCCUCUCAUGAGGAAAAGCUGAAAGUCGGUUUCGGCUGACACUUACAGAUGGGCCCGCGGCGCAUUAGCUAGUUGGUGAGGUAACGGCUCACCAAGGCGACGAUGCGGAGCCGACCUGAGCGGGUUGACGGCGACACUGGGACUGAGACACGGCCCAGACUCCUACGGGAGGCAGCAGUAGGGAAUGGUCCACAAUGGACGAAAGUCUGAUGGAGCAACGCCGCGUGAGCGAUGAAGGCCUUCGGGUCGUAAAGCUCUGUUGUUAGGGAAGAACAAGUAUCGGAGUAACUGCCGGUACCUUGACGGUACCUAACCAGAAAGCCACGGCUAACUACGUGCCAGCCGCCGCGGUAAAAC
rnacentral:rRNA from 1 species